AACCCAAAGGACUUGACGGUGCCCCACCCACCUAGAGGAGCCUGUUCUAUAAUCGACACCCCACGAUCUACCUCACCACUCUUAGCACACUCAGUCUGUAUACCUCCGUCGUAAGCUCACCAUAUGAACGUCACUAGUGAGCUAAAUGGUCCUCCCCCCACCCCCACCCACACGUCAGGUCAAGGUGCAACUAACAGAAUGGAAAGCAAUGGGCUACAAUUUCUACCAUAGAACACACGAAAAACUAUAUGAAACAUAGUCAUGAAGGCGGAUUUAGAAGUAAAAAGAAACCAGAAAAUUCUUUUGAACCCGGCCCUGGGGCGCGUACACACCGCCCGUCACCCUCCUUGACCCCAAGUAAAGGAGGCAAGUCGUAACAUGGUAAGUGUACUGGAAAGUGCACUUGGACAAUCAAAAUGUAGCUUAAUUAAAGCAUCCUACCUACACAAGAUAAAUGUUAAUAACUUUAACCAUUUUGCGCCUAAAUUUAAGCCCCCACCCCCCCACGCACUCUUAACACAAAUAAAACAUUCU
rnacentral:rRNA from 1 species